rnacentral:rRNA from 1 species
GCUAAAAACUUAGCCAAUAAACCCAAUGCCUUCAACUAAUUAUACCAAAGUAACUAAAACAUUUUACCUUCACAGUACAGGCGAUAAAAAAGUGUCUAAGAGCUAUAAAAAUAGUACCGCAAGGGAAUAGUGAAAUAAAAAUGAAAUAAAUUUCAAGCACAAUAAAGCAGGGCUCUAACCCCGUACCUUUUGCAUCAUGGUUUAGUUAGCCAAAUCAAGCAUAAUGCAUUAAAGUUUGACUUCCCGAAACUUGGCGAGCUACUUCAAAACAGCCUUCUGGGGCCAACCCGUCUCUGUUGCAAAAGAGUGGGAAGAUUUUCAAGUAGCGGUAAUAGACCUAUCGAGCCAUGUGAUAGCUGGUUACUCAAGAAAAGGAUUUGAGUCCACCAAUAAGCUUCCACGCAAACAAUAAUGCAACAAUAAGCUUAAUAGACAUUCAAAUAAGGUACAGCCUAUUUGAAACAGGAAACAACCUAAUACACAGGGUAAUUUUAUUUUAGGUGCCUAAGUGGGCCUAAAAGCAGCCAACUUCUAAAAAGCGUUAAAGCUUUAUCACCAAACACAAUAAUCCCCUAAACAACAUAAAACCCUUAAUUUAUACUGAGUGAUUCUAUGACCACAUAGAAAACCUAAUGCUAAAACUAGUAACAAGAAUGCCUUCUCUUAAGUGUCAGUAUAAGCCAGUACCUUGGCACCUACCGCCAAUGAACACAAAGUGGAAACUUUCUCAGAAAAAUCCACUAACCAUAGCGUUAAUCUUACCCAAGCACACUUCAAGAAAGAUUAAAAAAAGAGGAAGGAACUCGGCAAAUCAUUAAUCCCGCCUGUUUACCAAAAACAUCGCCUCCUGAAAGAUUAUAGGAGGUCCAGCCUGCCCAGUGAUAAAAUUAAACGGCCGCGGUACCCUAACCGUGCGAAGGUAGCGCAAUCACUUGUUCUUUAAAUGAGGACUAGUAUGAACGGCAUCACGAGGAUUAUACUGUCUCCCUUCUUUAAUCAGUGAAACUGAUCCCCCCGUGAAGAAGCGGGAAUAAACAUAUAAGACGAGAAGACCCUAUGGAGCUUUAAACUUAACACCACUUAUCUAAAACACUUCAUAAUAAACAGAUAAGCUUGUGCGCGUUUUAGGUUGGGGUGACCGCGGAGUAAAAUUUAACCUCCACGUUGAAAGGCCUUUAUCCUUAUCCAAGAGCCACAUCUCCAAGAAUCAACAAAUUGACAUUUAUUGACCCAAAUUUUUUUUGAUCAACGAACCAAGUUACCCUAGGGAUAACAGCGCAAUCCAUUUCAAGAGCUCAUAUCGACAAAUGGGUUUACGACCUCGAUGUUGGAUCAGGGUAUCCCAGUGGUGCAGCCGCUACUAAAGGUUCGUUUGUUCAACGAUUAAAACCCU